UUAAAGUCUCUGCUCUUCCAGCUUCUUACAAAGUUCCUGAGGUGCCCUCUCUUGAUGAGCCUUUCUAUCUCAUUUAUUAAUUGGUAGCAAUCAUUAGUGUCAUGGCCAUAAGUCCAAUGGUAUUGGCAGUACUUGUCCGGAUCUCUUCUGUUUGCAUCGGCCUUCAUGGGCUUGGGCCAUUAUAUAAAGUCCUUGUCCUGGACAGCCACGAGCACCUGGGCCCUGAACACAUUCAAAGGAGUGAUUACCUCAGGGAUCCAGGGUUGGUAUGAUCUCUGUUUCUUCCUUUCCCCUUGGCACCUAUUCAGUACCUUCGGCCCCCGAGUUUGCCUCCACUCUUGCCUUUCAGGUCAUUUGUCUUCCAUAGCCUUCCUCUAUCUCCUGCUUCCCGAGCAAAUCUAUUAGUAGUUAAGGCGUCAUCUUGCCUUAUGUACUUCUCUGCCCUUUUCAUCAACUCUACUAGAGUAAUGGGUGGCUUUCUACACAAUGAGCCGAAAAACUCUGGGGAGGUGGUCCCUUUUUACAUAGCUUCUACCUCUCUGGCCUCAUCAAGCUCGAGGAUCUGCAAAGCCUUCAAGUUGAACCUAGCUACAUAAUCCCUUAGGGACUUGUUUCUCCUUUACUUGACCGUCUUUACGUAGCUAGUCUUCCUCUCCACCGGGACCCCAGCAAUGAACUUGCUAAUAAACAUGCUGGCUAGGUCCAUGAAGCUUUUAAUCCUUCCUGCUUCCAAGCUAUUAAACCAUGCUCGGGCUGGUUCGGUAAGGGUGGUAGGAAAGACCUUGCACAUUAGAACAUCAGAGCGAGUCU
rnacentral:lncRNA from 1 species